AUUGAACGCUGGCGGCAGGCCUAACACAUGCAAGUCGAGCGAGCGGCGGACGGGUGAGUAAUGUCUGUGAAACUGCCUGAUGGAGGGGGAUAACUACUGGAAACGGUAGCUAAUACCGCAUACCCUCAGAUGUGCCCAGAUGGGAUUAGCUCGUAGGUGGGGUAACGGCUCACCUAGGCGACGAUCCCUAGCUGGUCUGAGAGGAUGAGCAGCCACACUGGAACUGAGACACGGCCCAGACUCCUACGGGAGGCAGCAGUGGGGAAUAUUGCACAAUGGGCGCAAGCCUGAUACAGCCAUGCCGCGUGUAUGAAGAAGGCCUUCGGGUUGUAAAGUACUUUCAGUGGGGAGGCGUUACCGGCAGAAGAAGCACCGGCUAACUCCGUGCCAGCAGCCGCGGUAAUAC
rnacentral:rRNA from 1 species